rnacentral:rRNA from 1 species
AUACGUAGGUGGCAAGCGUUGUCCGGAAUUACUGGGCGUAAAGGGCGAGUAGGCGGUCUUACCAGUCAGAUGUGAAAGGCGAGGGCUCAACCCUCGGACUGCAUUUGAAACUGUAAGACUUGAGUGCGGUAGAGGAAAGUGGAAUUCCCAGUGUAGCGGUGAAAUGCGUAGAUAUUGGGAGGAACACCAGUGGCGAAGGCGACUUUCUGGGCCGUAACUGACGCUGAGGCGCGAAAGCGUGGGGAGCAAACAGGAUUAGAUACCCUGGUAGUCCACGCCGUAAACGAUGGAUGCUAGGUGUGGGAGGUAUCGACCCCUUCCGUGCCGCAGUUAACGCAAUAAGCAUCCCGCCUGGGGAGUACGACCGCAAGGUUGAA